GACGAACGCUGGCGGCGUGCUUAACACAUGCAAGUCGAACGCUGAAGCUCAGCUUUUGUUGGGUGGAUGAGUGGCGAACGGGUGAGUAACACGUGAGUAACCUGCCUCCUUCUUUGGGAUAACGCCCGGAAACGGGUGCUAAUACUGGAUAUUCACUGGUCUUCGCAUGGGGGUUGGUGGAAAGGGUUUUUCUGGUGGGGGAUGGGCUCGCGGCCUGUCAGCUUGUUGGUGGGGUGAUGGCCUACCAAGGCUUUGACGGGUAGCCGGCCUGAGAGGGUGACCGGUCACAUUGGGACUGAGAUACGGCCCAGACUCCUACGGGAGGCAGCAGUGGGGAAUAUUGCACAAUGGGCGCAAGCCUGAUGCAGCGACGCCGCGUGAGGGAUGGAGGCCUUCGGGUUGUGAACCUCUUUCGCUCAUGGUCAAGCCGCAACAAUGGUUGUGGUGAGGGUAGUGGGUAAAGAAGCGCCGGCUAACUACGUG
rnacentral:rRNA from 1 species